GCGAGGUGGUGCUAAUCCUAGAAAGUUCUUCGUAGUCCGGAUUGGAGUCUGCAACUCGACUCCAUGAAGUCGGAAUCGCUAGUAAUCGCGAAUCAGCAUGUCGCGGUGAAUACGUUCUCGGGUCUUGUACACACCGCCCGUCACACCAUGGAAGUGGAUUGCACCAGAAGUAGAUAGUCUAACCUUCGGGAGGGCGUUUACCACGGUGUGUUUCAUGACUGGGGUGAAGUCGUAACAAGGUAGCCGUAGGGGAACCUGUGGCUGGAUCACCUCCUU
rnacentral:rRNA from 1 species